rnacentral:rRNA from 1 species
GGAACGGGACGCCAUAGAGGGUGAGAGCCCCGUAUGGUUGGACGCCUAGCCUCUGUGGGACUCCUCCGACGAGUCGAGUAGUUUGGGAAUGCUGCUCAAAUUGGGAGGUAAAUCUCUUCUAAAGCUAAAUAUAGGCCAGAGACCGAUAGCGCACAAGUAGAGUGAUCGAAAGAUGAAAAGCACCUUGGAAAGGGGGUUAAAAAGCACGUGAAAUUGUUGAAAGGGAAGCGCCCAUGACCAGACUCGCGCCUGGCGGAUCAUCCAGCGUUCUCGCUGGUGCACUCCGCCUGGUACGGGCCAGCAUCGGUUUCUGCGGGGGGAUAAGAGCAGCGGGGACGUGGCCCCUCCGGGGGUGUUAUAACCCGCUGCACGAUGCCCUCUCGGGGACCGAGGUUCGCGCUCUGCAAGGAUGCUGGCAUAAUGGUCAUCGGCGACCCGUCUUGAAACACGGACCAAGGAGUCGUCCAUUACGGCGAGCGUUUGGGUGUCAAACCCCUACGCGUAAUGAAAGUGAACGCAGGUGAGAGCUUCGGCGCAUCAUCGACCGAUCCUGAUGUAUUCGGAUGGAUUUGAGUAAGAGUCGUACCGGACGGACCCGAAAGAUGGUGAACUAUGCCUGAAUAGGGUGAAGCCAGAGGAAACUCUGGUGGAGGCUCGCAGCGGUUCUGACGUGCAAAUCGAUCGUCAAAUUUGGGCAUGGGGGCGAAAGACUAAUCGAACCAUCUAGUAGCUGGUUACCGCCGAAGUUUCCCUCAGGAUAGCAGUGUUGUUCUCAGUUUUAUGAGGUAAAGCGAAUGAUUAGGGACUCGGGGGCGCUCUUUAGCCUUCAUCCAUUCUCAAACUUUAAAUAUGUAAGAAGCCCUUGUUGCUUAAUUGAACGUGGGCAUUCGAAUGUACCAACACUAGUGGGCCAUUUUUGGUAAGCAGAACUGGCGAUGCGGGAUGAACCGAACGCGGGGUUAAGGUGCCGGAGUGGACGCUCAUCAGACACCA